rnacentral:misc_RNA from 1 species
UAAUGCAUUUCUUUUGUUGAUGAAAUGGCCAAGAGAAUGUUCUGUAAUGGAUUUCUUUUAUUGAUCAAAUGGCCAAGAGAAUGUUCUAUAAUGCAUUUCCUAACAGGACCCUCAUCAACCAAUAUCAAUCCUCAAUUGCAAAGUAGGAGCACCAAAAGAGUUCUAGCUCCUUGAUUGCAGAACAGGAGCAACGCCACUCUAAAAAAGAAGUGUAAAACAAGCAAAUGAUAGAAAGAUGGGAUUGUCCAACUAGGCAGUUGUCCUUGGUGAUUGUGCAAGUUCACAGGAAGACAAUUGUGUAUUUUUAUCUCAAUUUUUUCAUACUUUGAUAGUGAAGUACUUUAUUAAUAAUUUUGUUCAAAGUGUGAAAUCAAAUUUUUGUUUUUGAUGUUGCUGUGUAAGUAUUUGAAAACCAGUCAAAGCACUAAACUAGCUUGUAAAAAAAGAAAAAUAGUGAGGUCAGUGCCUUAUAAG